UGGAAGGUUUCUUGUCUUCUUUCAUUGCAUCAACAAUAUGGGUUGAGAACAGAGCUCCCAUAACACCCUGCUCUCCAACAGAAACCUGCUACAGACAAAUGAACUUCAAGAAAUAUACCAUCAUCAACAUUACCAUCAUCAUGACCAUUAAAAUUAUAAAGAAGACACCUGCCCAGCUCCUGGAUGCUCUGAGACAGCUACAGACAUCAAGGACAAGACUGUCUUGGAUGAGAGCAGAAAGUUUUUUAUCUGGACUUCAGCAAAUUGUAGCUCUUCGCCUAGAGUUCAUUGUGUUUUCUGGUAGAGGCCUACAUAGUGUAUUUCUUCAGGUAUCAUCCACUUAUUAAGAAAUACAUCUUUAGUCCAAACAUGUGAAGUAGCAGAAUAUCCAUACCAUCAUUAGACCAAAUCUCUGGUAGGCUGGUUAUAGAUAUUGCAGCAAUUGCAGCCAGGAUUGAUAGCUACAUUUGGGGGUGUUUCCUAAAUUGAAAAAACAGGAAAAAAAAAUUCUAUCAUCUGUUCACUAUGAGUAGUGAACACCUGCUUCACAAUAUGAGCUUGCUGUCUAAUGGGAAGUGGAAAAGCAUAUAAAGAAGAAACUGAUUAAAGGCCCACUGCAUAACAGUCUCCAAGCAGCUGAAGUGUUUAGGUAUUCACAAAGGAGGAGGAGGAUAUGUGCUAAUACUUUUUCAGAUAAAGGAGGUAUUUUGGUUGUGGGAAUCCCACAUGCUGUCUGUGUGCCCAUACAUUCUGAUUUUUAAGGAAAGACACCCUUACCAGCUCUGGUUUGGAAAAGUGUUUAAAAGCCUGAAAAGAACUGAAGAGCCUGAUAAAGUUCUUUUGCUCUCUGUAACAUAUCCCAUAACCACUGCUGAUAUGGAUCAGCAGGUCUUACAGACCUAAAUUUCCUUUCCUGAAGGGCUUCUACACCCAAAAGCUAGUCUAUGUGUUCAAAUGAUAUUAAUGUCUCUAACAGAAGAUGUUAUUUCCUACUAAAAAUUUGGAUUCCUUUGUGUAUUUAAACCUCCAUAACUCUGGCAGGAUUGUUGAUCUUGAUUUUCUAUGUAUGAAUGCACAAAUGGAGAUCAGAAGACUUCAAGAUGCAAAAAGGUAAGGUAUUCAGGUGCCUUUAUAGAUAUCUUCUGUUGUGAGGUGCCUCAGGGAGGCAAAGGGUUCGUUUCAGACAAGCAUUGUGAAAGGACAGGAACGGCUGUAAGACAUGUGUGUGAAUUUUGACCCCCUGUGUUGGGGGAUGGACAUGUGAGCCCUGGAUGAAGUUACCCCACCCCAAACCCCUUGUGAAGGGCAGCCCAGGAGUUCUGAUUGGGUUUGAGUCCCUGGAGGUUUCUCCUUGGUCCUUGGUUUCUAGGGGUCCCUGACCCUGAACUCCACCCUCAAGGGUGGAGACCCUCAAGAGUUCCGUUCCUCAAAACCCCUCACCCUGCCUUUGUUCGGGGCUCUCUGUCUCUGGAUCUGAGUUUGUUCCCGUGCUGAAUAAAUAGUUUCA
rnacentral:lncRNA from 1 species